rnacentral:rRNA from 1 species
UACAGAGGUCUCAAGCGUUGUUCGGAUUCAUUGGGCGUAAAGGGUGCGUAGGCGGCGCGGUAAGUCGGGUGUGAAAUCUCGGAGCUUAACUCCGAAACUGCAUUCGAUACUGCCGUGCUUGAGGACUGGAGAGGAGACUGGAAUUUACGGUGUAGCGGUGAAAUGCGUAGAUAUCGUAAGGAAGACCAGUGGCGAAGGCGACACGCUGGGUCAUACCUGACGCUAAAACGCGACAGCAUGGGGAGCGAACGGG